rnacentral:rRNA from 1 species
UGGGGAAUAUUGCACAAUGGGCGAAAGCCUGAUGCGGCAACGCCGCGUGAGUGAUGAAGGUCUUCGGAUUGUAAAGCUCUGUCUUUUGGGACGAUAAUGACGGUACCAAAGGAGGAAGCCACGGCUAACUACGUGCCAGCAGCCGCGGUAAUACGUAGGUGGCGAGCGUUGUCCGGAUUUACUGGGCGUAAAGGGUGCGUAGGCGGAUGUUUAAGUGAGAUGUGAAAUACCCGGGCUUAACUUGGGUGCUGCAUUUCAAACUGGAUAUCUAGAGUGCAGGAGAGGAGAAUGGAAUUCCUAGUGUAGCGGUGAAAUGCGUAGAGAUUAGGAAGAACACCAGUGGCGAAGGCGAUUCUCUGGACUGUAACUGACGCUGAGGCACGAAAGCGUGGGUAGCAAACAGGAUUAGAUACCCUGGUAGUCCACGCCGUAAACGAUGAGUACUAGGUGUAGGAGGUAUCGACCCCUUCUGUGCCGCAGUAAACACAUUAAGUACUCCGCCUGGGAAGUACGAUCGCAAGAUUAAAACUCUAAAGUGAAUUGAC